GGAUGACAGUGUCUACUAGCAGAGAAGUAAGACUUUCUGCUUUUCAGCUCCACUGAGCUGGAUAUGGACAAAGUGCUAAUGAGAGCAAAAUACCCAAGAAGUUACUAAUGAGUAAUAAGGGGAACAAAAUUGUUAUUAAAAAAUGUCCUUAAAAAAUCCUGGAGCAAAACAUCAGGCAGUGGAACACGGCUUGAAAUGCUGUGAUGGAGAACAACAGCGUAUAUGUCCCUAGAGUUGAACAGACACAUUUCAAGCCUUAUCCAAGUUUAGGACUUUUGGAAAGCAUUGCAGUUGCGAAUAAGAGAAUGUGCUUGGAAUCUUACUCUUGUGCAUUGAAGAAGGAUAAGAAACAGGAAGAAGUAGAAGAAUAAGGGGCUGGAGAUCAAGACCUACCCAUUGUGAUGAAUAAAUCCAGGCUCUCAGCAAUGCAGGGAGAAAAAGUUUUGUCUAUCAACACUGCAGCAACCAGGUAAUUCUGUGCACAGACCAAGUCUCUUAGCACAGGCACCAGCCCUGGAGUUCAUGUCCUCAUCAAAGGAUGGAAAGAAGCAAAGCUCAAAUCAGCUUGGGAAGGACCUUACCUAGUGCUCCUGACCACUGUAACCAUCAUCCAGACAGCAGAGAAAGGAUGGACUCAUUAUACCCGAGUCAAAGUGUUGCCACCUCCACAGUCAUGGGCCAUUGUUCCAGGGGAAAGCCCUACCAAAUUAAAGCUAAGAAAAACUU
rnacentral:lncRNA from 1 species